GCUUUCUCUUCGCUUUCUACCAUGAUUGUAAGUUUCCUGAAGGCUCCCCAGCCAUGCUGAACGAUAUGUAUUCUGCAAUCAUGACCAAACAGAAGGACUAAAUCUGGAUCAGAAUCUGAAAUGUAAAAAGGCUACUUGUCAACCACGCCAUUGUUUUCCGUUGGAGCUAGCAGAGCAGCCUCGGCUGCACAUUCCUGGGACGUGAAUAAUAUCGGUUGUGAUUACACUUCAGUAUCUCAUCCAUUACCAGCCCUGUGAACACUGAAUAUAACCUAAUUAGGAAAUGCGAAGGGCCCUUUGCUAGGGAUGAGUGCUGGGGCAGCAGAGGUCCACAUGCCUUCCCGACACAGGGAUUCACCG
rnacentral:lncRNA from 10 species